AAAUGGUGGUAUGGACAGUUCCUUUGAAGAUCUUUGAACCUUUCCCAAGCCUCAUUCAAUGACUCCCCAUCAUAUUGCAAGAAGUCUAUGAUCUCCUUAGUCAACUU